rnacentral:lncRNA from 1 species
AGACAAACGUUCCCCUCUGCAGCCUCGCUAAUGGCUCAGCGUUGGGCCUUGGUUCAUCACAGAGCUCUGCGAUUCUGGUUUCUGGGGUUACUGACACUUCACUACCCCAGACACUGAGAGUAGUGUGAAUUUUGUUCCAGUAUGGCAGCUCUGGAGGAUGGCAACUAUCAUGAUGCCCACUGUGAAAAUAUCAAUUCUUACUUUAUUUACAGGAGACAGCUCUUUCUUAUCUAGCCUGUCUCAGAGGCUGCCUGUCACCUGCUAGGGUACACAAAGGAGAAAGAAGGAUGGCCCACGAGCCAGAGGACAGCAGGUUGCCAAGCCAAGCGUAGUGUCUUUUAUGUUCUUUGAUAACUGUUCGAGUUCCCGCUCCUAUUCCUUCCAUCUAUUAAUGAACAUCCUGGCCUUUAAUCAUCGCUAUCAUUUCAUAGAGACUUUUGCAUGAGUCUCCCCUCGCCUUUGCGUCUCGGAACAUCUGUUUCCCAGACCUUCUCUUGAGAAUGAGCGUAUACAUGGCAGCUUUCCCCUUCUGUGGGCCAUGGAGCUGCAUUUCUUAUGCACCUUCAAGCAUUAAAUAGAAAAUCAAGCUAAAUGUACCAUAUUUUGUUAUAAUUACAGUUUAGGGGGAAAAUCCUUGUUAAUUAGGUAUCCAAGAAAGUUAUGUGGCCCAUAUGUAAGGUGAAAUGUUUAGUUCACAGUCAUAAUGUUUGGUAAUAAAGGGAUAGUGGUGAGUGAAAAGAACAAAUGUAAAUUAUCAUCCUCCAAAUAAAUCCAAUAGCUUAGAUGAUUGGGCCACUCAUGGCAACCAUGUGCAACUGGUUCUGGUUGCCACUUUAAAGUGCCUGAUUUUAGUUUGCCUAAAAUUAUUCUUUUAAUAAACAAGUGUAAUUUAAGAGGUAACAUUCUGGUACCAUCUGAUAGGUACAGAUUUACUGUGCUUGCAGUGUGAUAGUAACAGUACUAUUCUGAUUAUUCAUCAUGGAGUCUUUGGCAUUGUGCUGGAUGAUGGUAGAAAUUAAGGAAUUUUUACUCAGGUAAGGUCUCUUCCUUUUAGUAAUUUAUUUUCCAUAGCUAUGUGCUCUGGCCUGAGUCACAUGCAGGACAACCCCAUCACUGACCUGGAAGCAUCCCCUGGUUAAUAACGAUGAUCAUGUACCUAGGGCUUCCUGUGAGCCAGGGUCACUUUGAAUUCUUAGUUCCUCCCUAUCUUACAGCCCAUGGGAGUGUACUACCUAAGAUAGUGUUUAUAUCGACAACUAGAAACCAUCAGUUAAGGAUGAUUGAUAUGCCUUGUCUCUGGUAGUAUGAGAAUCUAU